GGAACAUUCACCAGAGGCUGGUGUUCCACAUCUCUGUGGAUGUCAGGCUGCAAAUUGCCAUUUUGAGGCUGGCUGAAGAACACCCUGCUGACGUGGUGCUGACCCUCCUGCGCUGUGCCCCAACGUGUGACAGGUACGGGGCCCACGAGCCUUGAGAGCUCAGGGCUCAGCAGCCUUUAGGGCCCACGGCCCUGCACAGCCUGUCCAGUGGGCUCUGCCAGACAGGCAGAGAGGCCCAGAACCCUCUGGCCCCUCUGUUUCCUGAGCCUGCUGCCAGUGCUCCCCCCCUGCCCUUCAGGGCAUCAGGGCUCUGUCACCUGGGCCCUCAUGGGUGCACAGGGCGUGGUGCUGUGACUGAGAUGCCCCUGACACAGAGCCCUGAUCCCACAGAGCUGCUGCAAUGAUGUGGAGAACCAUCGGCUCCUCGAGUCCCACAGUGGAAAAAGUACUGCCAGUGCUGCUCUGCGUGAUGGAGAAUUGGCCUCAGCACAGCAUGUCCACCUCUGAUGAGGAUGACACACGUGUUUUUGCCCUGGCUGCAGCUCUGGUGCUCUGGGUGAUUCUCCAGGUGCCUGAGUGCCAGGAGGCGAUGGACCUUUAUUCCUCCCGCCUGUUUGUGGCUCUGCUCUUCCAUGUGGUCGUCACCACACAGGAGAUACCACCAGAGGAAGUUGAUAAAUUCUGGAGAGCAUGCCGGGAGGAACACCGCUUUCACAGCAGGCUCAGGAGGUCCCAGUCCCCCUGUCCUUCCCGUGCCCUUGUGGCCAGCGCCAGCGCUCCCAGUGUGACCCGGGCUUUGCUCUGCACACAGGUUUGCAGUGCAGGCCAUGAAGGCUCUGCUCUGCCGACUGCAGUGUGACCAUGUGCUGGUGGCUAUAGAGCGCAAGCGUGGCUGGGACACGCUGAUGUAUGCUGACACCCAGCACUAUGCCGUGGGUCUGCUGGCCAGGGAGCUGAGGCGUGUCUUGAUUCCUUUGUGCUCUCACGCCGCACUCCACUUGCUCCGGCACCUCAGCAAGGAGGAACCAUGCUAUGAUCUGCCCUUCCUGGCAUUCCUGGUGGAGGUCCUUGAGUUCUUGGAUUUGAGUAAAUGUGGUGACAGCAUACUGGAGAUCAUGUCAAGGUACCUGCAGAGCGAGUGCAGGGAGCGGUGGCGCCUGGCACUCCGAGGCCUCGUGGUGCUCACCGAGGAUGCCUCGAUGGCCAAAAGAAUGUACAGUCUGUCUACAAGGCUUCUGGAGCUGCUGAGGGAUGCAGAUGGAGAGGUGGUCAGCAUGAGCCUCCGUGUGUUCACCAAUGUGCUCGAGCACAAAGACAUUCUGGUAUCCAGCACCACUGCCCCGAAGCUGGCUGAGGCACUCCUCCUGCUCUUUGACCAUGUAAGGCUCCGUGUCCACAGCCAUGGGCGCAGACUGCCCGCAUACCCUUUUCCCUUAUGGAUUUUCAGACAUUGUCUCAGUUGAGCCUGGAAUAAUUGGUCUUAAAAGUCUUAUCCUUUUCUAAAGGACAACAGCUAUGUGCAGUUGCUCUCUAUUCAACUCUUUGACAAGAUGAUGGACUUGGUAGUGGAUGAGGGAAAAAAGCCCAUGAAGAAGCUUUUGUGUCAGAGCUUGCUCCCACUUUUCUUGUAUUGCCAUGCGGAGAACCAGCGUGCGGCAAAGGUGAGGUUUUGCGUGAUGCUGGUGGAUCCCUGGGAGGGGGCUGGGCAGCCUCUUGCCCUGGCG
rnacentral:lncRNA from 1 species